GUUAAGCGACUAAGCGUACACGGUGGAUGCCCUGGCAGUCAGAGGCGAUGAAGGACGUGCUAAUCUGCGAUAAGCGUCGGUAAGGUGAUAUGAACCGUUAUAACCGGCGAUUUCCGAAUGGGGAAACCCAGUGUGUUUCGACACACUAUCAUUAACUGAAUCCAUAGGUUAAUGAGGCGAACCGGGGGAACUGAAACAUCUAAGUACCCCGAGGAAAAGAAAUCAACCGAGAUUCCCCCAGUAGCGGCGAGCGAACGGGGAGCAGCCCAGAGCCUGAAUCAGUGUGUGUGUUAGUGGAAGCGUCUGGAAAGGCGCGCGAUACAGGGUGACAGCCCCGUACACAAAAAUGCACAUGCUGUGAGCUCGAUGAGUAGGGCGGGACACGUGGUAUCCUGUCUGAAUAUGGGGGGACCAUCCUCCAAGGCUAAAUACUCCUGACUGACCGAUAGUGAACCAGUACCGUGAGGGAAAGGCGAAAAGAACCCCGGCGAGGGGAGUGAAAAAGAACCUGAAACCGUGUACGUACAAGCAGUGGGAGCACGCUUAGGCGUGUGACUGCGUACCUUUUGUAUAAUGGGUCAGCGACUUAUAUUCUGUAGCAAGGUUAACCGAAUAGGGGAGCCGAAGGGAAACCGAGUCUUAACUGGGCGUUAAGUUGCAGGGUAUAGACCCGAAACCCGGUGAUCUAGCCAUGGGCAGGUUGAAGGUUGGGUAACACUAACUGGAGGACCGAACCGACUAAUGUUGAAAAAUUAGCGGAUGACUUGUGGCUGGGGGUGAAAGGCCAAUCAAACCGGGAGAUAGCUGGUUCUCCCCGAAAGCUAUUUAGGUAGCGCCUCGUGAAUUCAUCUCCGGGGGUAGAGCACUGUUUCGGCAAGGGGGUCAUCCCGACUUACCAACCCGAUGCAAACUGCGAAUACCGGAGAAUGUUAUCACGGGAGACACACGGCGGGUGCUAACGUCCGUCGUGAAGAGGGAAACAACCCAGACCGCCAGCUAAGGUCCCAAAGUCAUGGUUAAGUGGGAAACGAUGUGGGAAGGCCCAGACAGCCAGGAUGUUGGCUUAGAAGCAGCCAUCAUUUAAAGAAAGCGUAAUAGCUCACUGGUCGAGUCGGCCUGCGCGGAAGAUGUAACGGGGCUAAACCAUGCACCGAAGCUGCGGCAGCGACGCUUAUGCGUUGUUGGGUAGGGGAGCGUUCUGUAAGCCUGUGAAGGUGUGCUGUGAGGCAUGCUGGAGGUAUCAGAAGUGCGAAUGCUGACAUAAGUAACGAUAAAGCGGGUGAAAAGCCCGCUCGCCGGAAGACCAAGGGUUCCUGUCCAACGUUAAUCGGGGCAGGGUGAGUCGACCCCUAAGGCGAGGCCGAAAGGCGUAGUCGAUGGGAAACAGGUUAAUAUUCCUGUACUUGGUGUUACUGCGAAGGGGGGACGGAGAAGGCUAUGUUGGCCGGGCGACGGUUGUCCCGGUUUAAGCGUGUAGGCUGGUUUUCCAGGCAAAUCCGGAAAAUCAAGGCUGAGGCGUGAUGACGAGGCACUACGGUGCUGAAGCAACAAAUGCCCUGCUUCCAGGAAAAGCCUCUAAGCAUCAGGUAACAUCAAAUCGUACCCCAAACCGACACAGGUGGUCAGGUAGAGAAUACCAAGGCGCUUGAGAGAACUCGGGUGAAGGAACUAGGCAAAAUGGUGCCGUAACUUCGGGAGAAGGCACGCUGAUAUGUAGGUGAGGUCCCUCGCGGAUGGAGCUGAAAUCAGUCGAAGAUACCAGCUGGCUGCAACUGUUUAUUAAAAACACAGCACUGUGCAAACACGAAAGUGGACGUAUACGGUGUGACGCCUGCCCGGUGCCGGAAGGUUAAUUGAUGGGGUUAGCGCAAGCGAAGCUCUUGAUCGAAGCCCCGGUAAACGGCGGCCGUAACUAUAACGGUCCUAAGGUAGCGAAAUUCCUUGUCGGGUAAGUUCCGACCUGCACGAAUGGCGUAAUGAUGGCCAGGCUGUCUCCACCCGAGACUCAGUGAAAUUGAACUCGCUGUGAAGAUGCAGUGUACCCGCGGCAAGACGGAAAGACCCCGUGAACCUUUACUAUAGCUUGACACUGAACAUUGAGCCUUGAUGUGUAGGAUAGGUGGGAGGCUUUGAAGUGUGGACGCCAGUCUGCAUGGAGCCGACCUUGAAAUACCACCCUUUAAUGUUUGAUGUUCUAACGUUGACCCGUAAUCCGGGUUGCGGACAGUGUCUGGUGGGUAGUUUGACUGGGGCGGUCUCCUCCUAAAGAGUAACGGAGGAGCACGAAGGUUGGCUAAUCCUGGUCGGACAUCAGGAGGUUAGUGCAAUGGCAUAAGCCAGCUUGACUGCGAGCGUGACGGCGCGAGCAGGUGCGAAAGCAGGUCAUAGUGAUCCGGUGGUUCUGAAUGGAAGGGCCAUCGCUCAACGGAUAAAAGGUACUCCGGGGAUAACAGGCUGAUACCGCCCAAGAGUUCAUAUCGACGGCGGUGUUUGGCACCUCGAUGUCGGCUCAUCACAUCCUGGGGCUGAAGUAGGUCCCAAGGGUAUGGCUGUUCGCCAUUUAAAGUGGUACGCGAGCUGGGUUUAGAACGUCGUGAGACAGUUCGGUCCCUAUCUGCCGUGGGCGCUGGAGAACUGAGGGGGGCUGCUCCUAGUACGAGAGGACCGGAGUGGACGCAUCACUGGUGUUCGGGUUGUCAUGCCAAUGGCACUGCCCGGUAGCUAAAUGCGGAAGAGAUAAGUGCUGAAAGCAUCUAAGCACGAAACUUGCCCCGAGAUGAGUUCUCCCUGACUCCUUGAGAGUCCUGAAGGAACGUUGAAGACGACGACGUUGAUAGGCCGGGUGUGUAAGCGCAGCGAUGCGUUGAGCUAA
rnacentral:rRNA from 1 species